ACUUUCAACAACGGAUCUCUGUGGCUCUCGCAUCGAUGAAGAACGCAGAC
rnacentral:rRNA from 1 species